rnacentral:lncRNA from 1 species
GCUAGAAACCACACUUCAGAGCCAGUGCUUGCGUGGUAUUUGCAAGCUCUCCUUCCUAAAUGAGCUCUUGGAAUGGUUGUGAAAAAUCUGAAGAACAAGAUCUGAAGAGCUGCCCAAGUACCUGAAAUCAUGGAGUAUGUAAGAGCUCCUGCCCACGUCCAGGCRCCUGGUGCUGUCCCGAGUUGCAGCCUGUCGUGACUGAGGCCUCAAAGACUUGGGAACCUGUUCAGCUACAGGCGGCUUCAUUCAUCUCGGAGAACUCGCAGUUCCCUCUCAAAAGAUAAUUUAGGAUCAUGUGCACGUGAAGCGGAACAAAAGCCUGCAUUACUCUGCGUGGGAUCUUAAACUCUGAGCUCUCCAAACCAGGUAUUUUUAAAAUGGAUGUGUUUGUGCAGCACCCCC